CUGGGACAGAGUGGAUGAACUUGGUACUCAUCACUCGCCUCUACAGGGACCAUCCUACCUGCACGUCGCCUCCCAUCUCUGCAUCUUGGGGUCAUGUUACAAGCAACGCUGCCAGAACAUAAGGUCAUUGAUACUCUGAACUCGGAGGCAAAGGGCCUGUUGGCGCAGAUGCAUAAUGUUUUGUCCUUGUCGCACUAUUCCCCUCUGGACCAGGCUGGAAUCAGCAAAUACCAACUCGGAAAAAAGACAUUUAGAACUGUUCAAUCU